UUAAGAUUAACAACUAAUACUAUUAUUCACUGACAUCUACCCACUCUCCCACGUUUUUUACACUCACGCCUCAAGGAUCUCACACACGUCGUCGUCGCCCCUCUUGCUGCCGCCGCCGGUUCCCCUCGUCUAUCCCGCUGCCCCUCUCACGGUUCUCACUCCCGCCUCCGUCACUCUCCCCCCACCCUCUCUCCCUGUAUAUUGUCAAUUUUCUGAAUGUUUUUUGGGCCAACUUGCAUACCGCUUUAGAUUAACACAAGUUCUUCAAUUGGUAUAAAUCAUGUAUAUGUAUAUGUUUUUUUUCAUUAUCUUGUUUUUCAAUUUGCAGGAACUCAAAUAUUUGAAAGUUCAAUUGAUGUAAUGUUGCUCUCUGGAAAUCUAUUACUUUAGAAUUCACACGACUGUUGUUGCUCAUAUUGUGUUUGAAGAAUUAAUGUAAAUUUUUGAUACAUUGAUUUUGAGUAAAUUUUCAAUAUUACUAUAUGGGAUUGAAAGAAGUAGUUCAAGCACAGUGAGUAGUGUAUAAAAUAUAUUAUGAUGUAUCUUCCUAACCACAAUAUCAGUAAACUAAGUUAGCAUCAAAGUCCAAUUCUACACCUAACAGAUUUUCACAAUGAUAGACCAGUUUUCAACAUCAGCUCCUCCAGAAAGGCUAGUUAUCUGUUCUUAGACAGUCAUGUGUAUAAGUUAUUCACAAUGGGAAGUAGACGUUUGGUCAAAUAUCUAUCUUUGGUUGCAUAUGAUUACUUUAAUGUUAUUAGUGGAGUAGUAUAUCCAUCAUUAGUUAUUUUGCAUUUGUAUUUUACUGCUUAACCAUUAUAUUCUUGUUGGUAUGGCAUACUGCUCUGCCUUUCCCAGCCUAUGUUAAUAGCUCGUAGGCCUUCAAAUAUUGGCAGGAUUGGCCAUUUCCAACCUCUAUUAGUGACAAUACUCAUUGUCAUCAUCACGUUUCAUGGAGCUACCAUAAUGAACAUAUUAUUUGCUUUUACUGGGAUUUAGUAUACUUAAAACUACCAAUUAAUAUUCAUUGUUUACAUCCUUGUAGUAAGUCCACCAUAAGUAUGUGCAGUGAUGGUGCAACAAGAAAAGGGGAUACUACCUGUGAAAUUUGUCAACAGGUUUGCUUUCUUAAAUAAUUUGUUAUCUAUCAUUCUAUGUAUGUUUAACACAAGGUUCCAGUUUUUCAAGCCAAGUUAUACAGCAUCACCCUCUCUUUGAGUGGGAUCCCCAUGAACUUAAGGUGAAGGUAAAAGAUGCCGCUGCGACUCAAGUCAAGAAUGCCAAGUUAUGGGAGGCCGCCUCGACAAAAAGAGGAAGAUGGUUGGAACAAUAGACAUCGGACCAAGCCUUGUGGGUAGUUCCUCCACACACACUACUAGAGGGAUGAGUCAACAAGUGGACCUAGAAGAACAUAAAAUCAAUGUUGCUCCGAGAAGAGAAUGAAACUAGAACCAUUCUUUGUCCAGUCUCGUCUGAAGAAUUAUGAGUUUGACCUCUAUUUUGUAAUUCAUUGUAUAAUCUAAAGUAUGACAGUA